ACGAACGCUGGCGGCGUGCUUAACACAUGCAAGUCGAACGGAAAGGCCCUGCUUUUGUGGGGUGCUCGAGUGGCGAACGGGUGAGUAACACGUGAGUAACCUGCCCUUGACUUUGGGAUAACUUCAGGAAACUGGGGCUAAUACCGGAUAGGAGCUCCUGCUGCAUGGUGGGGGUUGGAAAGUUUCGGCGGUUGGGGAUGGACUCGCGGCUUAUCAGCUUGUUGGUGGGGUAGUGGCUUACCAAGGCUUUGACGGGUAGCCGGCCUGAGAGGGUGACCGGCCACAUUGGGACUGAGAUACGGCCCAGACUCCUACGGGAGGCAGCAGUGGGGAAUAUUGCACAAUGGGCGGAAGCCGGAGGCAGCAACGCCGCGUGCGGGAUGACGGCCUUCGGGUUGUAAACCGCUUUCGCCUGUGACGAAGCGUGAGUGACGGUAAUGGGUAAAGAAGCACCGGCUAACUACGUG
rnacentral:rRNA from 1 species